GUUUUUGUGGCCAAGUGGUUAAGGCGAUGGACUGGAAAGCCAUUGAGGUCUCCCUGCGCAGGUUCAAAUCCUGUUGACAACG